UACGUAGGGGGCAAGCGUUGUUCGGAAUUACUGGGCGUAAAGCGCACGUAGGCGGACUAUUAAGUCAGGGGUGAAAUCCCGGGGCUCAACCCCGGAACUGCCUUUGAUACUGGUAGUCUCGAGUCCGGAAGAGGUGAGUGGAAUUCCGAGUGUAGAGGUGAAAUUCGUAGAUAUUCGGAGGAACACCAGUGGCGAAGGCGGCUCACUGGUCCGGUACUGACGCUGAGGUGCGAAAGCAUGGGGAGCGAACAGG
rnacentral:rRNA from 1 species